AAAAAAGGGUGAUAAAAAAGAUAAAGAAGAAUAGCCUAAAGAAGCUGAAUUGCUGAUAGUUUAUCUCUAUUAAAUUGAAUCAAUUAUAUGGACUGGAAAAUUUUAAUGUGAACGGUACUUAAUGCUAUAAAAUGAAAUUGUUUACUGCAUCACUGCCUGAAACAACUUUCUUAACCUGUUGGAGCACUUGGAAUUUGGAAUAUAGAGAAGAAUUGAAGGGCAUACUUUGGUGUCCUAUUCUGUAUCUCUGAUGCUUUCGCUUGUUAGCCACAACUUCUUUUG
rnacentral:misc_RNA from 1 species